GACGAACCGUGCGAACGUUAUUCGGAAUCAUUGGGCUUAAAGAGCGCGUAGGCGGCGACGUAAGUUGGAAGUGAAAUCCCAUCGGCUCAACCGUGGAAUCGCUCCCAGUACUGCGUUGCUCGAGGGAGAUAGGGGCCUGUGGAACUGCCGGUGGAGCGGUGAAAUGUGUUGAUAUCGGCGGGAACGCCAGUGGCGAAAGCGACAGGCUGGACCUUUUCUGACGCUGAGGCGCGAAAGCUAGGGGAGCAAACGGG
rnacentral:rRNA from 2 species